AUGCUCACUUCGGCAGCACGUAUACUAAAAUUGGAACGAUACAGAGAAGAUUAGCACGGCCCCUGCACAAGGAUGAUGUGCAAAUUCGUGAAGCGUUUUGUAUUUUU